rnacentral:rRNA from 1 species
UAGGGAAUUUUCGUCAAUGGGGGGAACCCUGAACGAGCAAUGCCGCGUGAGUGAAGAAGGUUUUCGGAUCGUAAAGCUCUGUUGUAAGAGAAAAAGGGUGAUAACAGGAAAUGGUUAACACUUGAUGGUAUCUUACGAGGAAGCCACGGCUAACUACGUGCCAGCAGCCGCGGUAAUACGUAGGUGGCGAGCGUUAUCCGGAAUGAUUGGGCGUAAAGGGUGCGCAGGCGGUUGUAUAAGUCUGAAGUAAAAGCCAUCGGCUCAACCGAUGUAAGCUUUGGAAACUGUGUAACUAGAGUGCAG